CGACGAUCGGUCAUUUCCAGUUCCAUUGUCGUACGACGAUCUGAACGUUGGGAUCGUUGAAUUAGGAGGGUUAGGAUGAGGGUCGGUGUGUAUUUAUUUAUAUUUAAGGGGGAUAGGAGUGGACGAUAGUCGGUUCGCGUGCGUCAAGUGUUGCGUGAGCGUGAAAUUCGGGCCGUGAUGUGCGAUUUCGCGCGAGUAGAAAGACGUAUGUCGCGAGGCGUCGCGUCGUGUCGUUUACAGACUGUACAGGGUCCUUGUGCGCACGGGCUAUUAAACGAACCAUGAAAUUCCGAUUACGCGAGACACGGUGCCCGUCGAAACCGCAUAGGUACAGAGGUGGUGCGUCCGCAUACGUACACACACGUGUCCGUGUGUCGAAUCGACGGCCACCGCUACAAACCAUUUCUGGUGUCAGUGACCGACAAAGGAUCAAACGCCGCGGCGCACUGUCCUAACGAAAAAUCAUUUAGACAAACAGGACCUCCAUUUUCAGAUUUGAUCACCAAGGGGUGUGGAUUGCAUACGGUUCAAAAGGACAUCAUGAAUAGCAAGCUAGAACGAAGGUUAGGUUUGGGCUAGGUCUGCCAAAUAUCUUAGGAAAAACAAGUUCUUUCUUUGCUUCUCCCUCAAAUUGUAAUUAGAACUUUCCAAUGAUACGGCACUGUCGAUGUUCGUCUGACCCCUCCAGGAGCCCAAUUGAAUCAGUUGUCCAAUUGUGCGGAUUCGUGAAUUAACAAAUCUGUUUAAUUAUUCAUCUAUUCGUUGAAAGAAUCAUAGAGCCGAAUAGCGAAAGACCCGAAAGUUUUACAUCACGAUCACUACAACACCCAGAAUACCAAACGUGGAACCAGGACUCUCACAGCGAGUUACCCUAAAAAUGUCCUGCGUAAUAGUCAACAUUCUCCCGUUUGGUAUCCGCAUGAACACGUUUACUGCUCUUAUAGCCGCCACGUGCAAACCUAACUCAUGGGAACCAACCUAGACCGCGAUCGACAUUUCUGUCGUUGCAACUAAUUACCUGGUAUCUUCCGUAACUAACUAACUAACUAUAGCUCCGAGUAAUAUGUUUGAGAAACAAACAUUUUCUAACCAAACCGAAAUAUCAACGCGUAAGUUACACGAAAGGGUUUCCCUUUCAGUCGUGCGAGCUAAUGAGUUAAUUAGCUAAUUAAAUAAAUGAGGAAUCGAUGAUCGGCGACGUCGCGUCGGCGCGACCUAAACCAAUUUCUCCAGUUUAUGGGGUCAUCCGUUAUAUUCGCGAGAAUCUGGCGCAUGUCUGUAUCGAUUCCGCAUUGGUACGCGGCCGCGCUUAAAAAGACACGCGAACUCAUCGAUCCGAGAAUAUUUCGGCUUCGCCGAGCACUUGGCAGCGGUAAAACCGUACACCUAGCUUGGGUUGUUGAAAAAUCAUCGCAGCGUUGCCCAAAGGCCGGAAGAAUCGCUGUAUUAACGUUACUAUUUCUAUAGAUGGUAGUAGGUGGUAGUAGAUUUCGUCAUUUUCUUUAUGUAAAUGUAUUCGAGGUCCGUUACUCUAUUACGAUGUGGUUUCGUAAAAAAAGUUGCCAAGUAUAGCUGCUGGAAGGGAUCUGAUAUUUGUGUAAUAUUAAAUAUUAAAUAACGACCAAGUUGUUCCGGUGUCUCGGAUGCCUGGACGCCAGGAACGUCCGGAUAUUCGCGAGGUUCAACGACUAGUCGCGGUCGGAUGCAGAUUCUCGCGGAAGCGUCGCCGUCGCGGCGAUUAUCCCAAAAUAACCGCGGAAUUCUCUCAUUGGCCGAAUAAUCGAGAUCGAGACGAUAGUAAAAGCGUUUCCCCCGAAUUCGCGAGAAAACGAAUCGAAAAAGAUGACGGGUGUCGGGAUGGGGGGACAAAAACGACGACAAUUUUUGUGGACCGCCGCGGCCAUCGAGCUUAUUCCAGGACGUCCCGGAGCCGGAGCCUGAGAGGUUCAACGACCAUUCUCCUCCUCCUCUUUCUUCUCCAGCUUUCUGGACCAGGAGAGAACACCAGUCUACCCUCUACCUCCGCAGCCGCCACCCACCCUCGAUUCUUUUCGACCACAUCUCUGACGCGCUUCCAUGAUUCCACGUCAGAAACCAUCUAGAUUCGAAUGACGUUUAGGGAUAUGAAAGUGGAGAUCGAGUGAUACGACAUUCUCUGGAUUAUUUCGUUGUGUUUCGAUACAUAAAACUCUACAACUUGAACGUUUUUAUCAGGGUUAUGUGCAAAAUACACAAAACACCUGCUUUAAUACGAAUACAAGAUUCUCGUGCACUUGAAACUCUUUGGAUGUGAUUGUAUCGUAGUACGAUAGAACUAGAGAUCGAUAGUAUUCGAUACUACAAAUAAAUAUCACGUAGAUUAUUAAACAAAACCUGAAUGAUGAAUGGCUCUACGUCACUUUGGCCUGUUGGUAGAGCGCAUUCAUUACGCAUUCGGUUCGUAGGGUUUCGGGAUCGGCGUUGUUCCCGAGGUGGUGGUGGAGCAUGGAGGAAGAGGAAAAAGCGCGCUGACUAGAAGGACGAGAGAACAACGGCGACGAGGGUUGAAGAGGAAGCAGCAGAGCAGUGGGUGGAUGGAUCGGCGUGACAGCAGCCUGGUCGGGGAAGGUUCAUGGACUCCCUCGUCCCUCUGCUGCUGCUGCUGCUGCUGCUGCUGCUCCUCCUCCUCCUCCUCCUCCUCCUCCUCCACCUCCUCUUCCUCUUCCUCUUCUGCGGGGUGGCUGCCCUACGCGGAGGAAAAAGGCGUCGGUGGCCCUGCCAAUCCUACGCCCUACGAGGCACUCGUGGGGCGAGGUCACGAGAGGUCAUGCGAUUGCGAGCCCUACGUGUCGGUCGUUUCGAAUCGAACCAGGUGGAAAUCACUACAUAUAGGGCCGACCUGUGCUACUGGCUCGGCCAAGGGCCGCAAAAAGAUGUACAGGAGAUUUUUAACACCAUCUUCGUCCUAUUCGGAAGGAGUGUACACCUUGGCAGAGGAAUUUCUGCGUUAAUCUAGCCAGACUUCUUCGCGAAUAUUCCCUCGUUACUAGACUGCGGAUUUUAUACAUUUAUGAUACGCAAACUAAUAUAAUAGAUGCACUGCAAACAUAACCGAAUGCGUGGUAGUUGAUACCAAAACGGAGAACCAUACGACCUUGAGAUGACCUUGGAUUCAAAGUUCAUUCACAGGAAUAACGUGCUCUCUUGGAAGAUGACGUUGAAACGUGCACAGACAUGAUUACCAACAAAUCACAGGGAAAAAGGAUCAGAAGCAAGUGGCAGGACACCGCGUUUCCCGUUAGCAGGAACGAUGCGCUCGAGUCGACGGCAUGUCGACACGAAAGUUAAGAGGGUCUGGAAACGAGAGGAAAUCAACACCGUCUGGAAACAAAAGCCCCGGGCAAUUAACGCGUCGAUGAAGAUGUAUCUGCUUCCAAUAUAUAUUCCCCAGCUCUCUUGGACGCAUGGCAAGACGGAAUAUACGCGAGCUGCGAAUAACGCGGCGUGUCCCGAGCAAACGAGACGACGCGACGGGGCAUAUCCUCUUACGAAGUACGAAAAAGACCACGAAGGAUUGAUAAAGCGUGAAAGUCAGCCAUGGUCCGUCUCUACCCUCGUCCUCGUGGAGGAUGAUGCAACCCCCGUUUCAUUAGAAGAUGACUGCAGCGUUACGAUACACGAUUCUCGAGGAACAUUCGCGUGCGCAAAGGGAAGGAGGACCCUCUCGAUUACACGCACCGCCUGUAUAAUCCGAUACGCAGACGAUGAUCGGCGAAUCAAAAACGAAGGCUAUCGAAAUUCUGGUUUCGCUAGAACAAGCUCGAUCGUCCCGACGGUAGAAGGCGCAAGGAUUUCAGGACCAGGACAGGGCCUCGUUGCGCGGAUCUUGGGACUCGAUGGCCCCCAAAACCGGUUCCGUCUGGAUUUCACGCGACAAGCGUUUCUUUUAUUUUUCCCUAUAUUUUUUUUCGUCGAGGAUCCAAAGGAAUACGACUUUGCGAAUGUAAGCCCCGUGUUGCGUUACGAUUACCAGGCCGUUAUCGUCCACGUCGUAAACAGUAAUUAUGUGUCCUCCGGAAUCAUAUUUAAUCCCUGCGUUAUUCUUCGGCUCUCUCUCUCUCUCUCACUCUCUCGAGCAAGGACUGCGGUUCCUUGAAAUCAGAAGAAAUGAAAGUGGAGUUUGAACUCGCUACGGUACUUGGGUAUUCGAACACUUUGGUGGGCUGAGCUCCUAUUAUCUGAGCUCACGCAACGUAGCGCUUAUGCGGAUUCGUCAACUCGAGCUAUACGAAUCAUUUAGUUAUCCGAACCUGCUUGUCCCGUGAUACGUUCAAAUAAAUAGAGUUCUACUUGUAAUAUAAUAUCAGUGCGCUACAUUAAUACUACUCCCGACAGCACUUGGAUAAUACGUAGAAUAAGAAUCUCGUUAUACCUCGCGUUUCGAAUCAUCUCCGUGCUCCAUUGUUUUCGACACGGACCACCAUAGUUUUAUUUUACGCGGCCAUAAGCAACAGCUUAUAAAUUAAAAAGUUUCCGUUAGCUUUCCAAUUACAAAAAUUCAUACGUAUCGUAGAUAAACUAACAAAUAAAAAUGUGAUUAAAAUUAAAUUGUAUGGACUCGAUACGUAACAACUUUGGAUACUAUAGAAAAGAAAUUGUAUACGUUAGUUAUUUUUUGACUGGACAAGGCGGAAGCCCGUUUUAAUAUCGAAAUUUGUAAAUUCACCGACCGUGGAGGCCCCUCCCCAUGAAAAACUCUGAGCGUUUCGUCUGGAGGUCGCCUCGCGUCUGAACGUGGUGCUGCGCGAUCAUUCAAGGUCGGUGCGCUAACAAUCGCUCAAGGUCGCCGUCUAGAUCCCGCCGUUAACGUACCCUCGACGCCGCGGGGUCGAUGUCCGGAUUACUCAAGGUCAAUGGCCGCUACGCUCCCGGGGUCAACGACCCGAACACUCCAAGCCGACGUCCGGAUUAUUCGAGGUCGGCCAGAGGAGACCGCAAGACGCGACUCGCGAGGAGGCAUCCACGCCUGCUGAACGCGUCGAUCGAUUUCGCGAACCGCGUCGUCGCGUCUUUCCUUUCGAUGGUGUUUCCCCCUCGAGGAAGACGAGCGAAGGUGGUACCGGGAGCACCAACCGUGAAUCUCAACCCCUCGUAUUGCCUCGCUUUUUAAACUGGCUCCGCGUUACGGAUACUCGAUACAGUUCUUUUUCGUUACGAUUCUUCAUGGAGAAUUGAAUUCUGUUUAAGGCAUAUUCUUAGAAAUGUACAAGUAACGAAUAUACGUACAAUGGAAAGAUUAGCGAAUCGCGAGAGACAACCAUAGUUAUCUAUGAAUUGAUUUAGGUGGAAUGUAAUGUAACGAGGUUUUUUGAAAGGUUGUUAGUAAGCAAUCAAAGGUCGAAUCCGUUAAAUCCGGGUAAAUUGUGUCGAAAGCCUCGCGACCUUCCACGAUCGGGGGAUAAAAACGGCACCAGACGGAGGACCGAGUAGACGUCGAAGCAGCGUGCGAUAACAAAGGGGACCAGGAUAAAAGAACACGCGAGGAAGAUAUCUUAUAUGGAUACGUUUACGGGAAGAGAUCGAGAACGAAGAAACGACGGUGUCGCCGAAAAAGACACGCAGGGCACUGGGAAGACGUAACGGAGAGGAAGGAGGAAAUAAUAACGACCCCGACGUCGCAGUGCUGCAGAAAGGUUGACGACCCGAUGCCAGGCGACGCCCUCUCCCCCCCUUUGCCGCCCUACCAUCCCUUCCCCAUCGUCCUCUGCAACCACCAUCCCCCGUUAUGCAGCUACCACUACCGCCCUCGGCCGUGCCCUCCUCUCCCCACACCGUACAUCCACCCACCUGCCACUACACGCCGUAAGCGCAUAGCGUACGUACGCCCUCCCGUCAUCCCUCUCUCUACGUCGGCCGCCACCACCGUCACCCCACGACCGUCUGGCCAGGGUCGGGGUCAUUGAACGUCUAUAAAGAUUUUGACUCUGCGUUACUGGUGGUGGUGGUGGUGGUGGUGGUGCUGCUGCUGCUGCUACUGCUGGUGGUGCUGUGCCGCCACCACCGCCGAUGCCACCGCCGCUGCGGAUGCAGGAAACCUCGCGCGGGGUACGCCCUUUUGUAAGGUGUGUAACACAAUCUUGUUGCUCGGUAAGAACACGCCAGGACCUUUUGUAGUAAUUUCAACGUCCAACGAUCGAUAUCGGGAAUUAUUGUCUCCAUUUUGCCGCGAUCGCGCUUCAUCGUGACCAAUUUGCGGGGGUAGACAUUAAGUUGUAGAGCUGGGAGAGUACGUCAAGUUGCAGCGAAGGAUGACUAUCUACAUAGUUAUAAAAAUCAUCUGUUUAAUUAACACUUUAUAGUGUCUACAUAUUGGAAUCUAUUAACUGUUGCUGGUUGUUUACUUACAAUGCUCAUUUUUUUUUUACAACAAAACUUUGUUAAUCCAGUUG